ACUGUCACAUCUCCAGGUUGACCUAGUUAAGUUACUUUUUCCCUCAUGUUUCUAGUCUGUCAUUUCCUGUUUUAUUUUGGAUACUUACCUUGUGUCUCUUUUCCAGAUCACUCCUUCCUGCCCAUCCCUACCCGUUUCCCUGUGUCCUGAUCAUCCUCAUGUGUCUCACCUGUGUUGAUUGUCGAGUGACUGCACCUGGUUGAUCCCCGGCUGAGUGUUCCCCUCCUCGUGUAUUUAGCUCAUCCACUCCCUGUCUGCUGUGCGAGAUCGUCUUGUUUCCUUUGUGUCCAAUUCCUUCGAGCCUUACUUCUGAUUGACCUUCGUGAUUUAUUUGACCCAGUUUCCCGUCCUAGUUUCCGAGUUAGCCUGCCGUUUUUUGUACCUCUGCCUGCUUGUUUUGACCUCCCGUGUAUCGAACCUUUUUCCUGAUCAAACGGACUUGAAAGUGCUUGAUUCCUGUGUCUGCUUUUGGGUCCUUUGGUCCGGCAUAUCGUUACACUGCACUUGUUCUUACCCAAUAAAGACCCGAAGACAUGGCUCCAAGAAGGCGUAGGCAUAAUGCAAAGCCUGGGGACCUGAUUGAAUUUUACCGUGGGCAGUAUAAGCACUGGGCUGUCUACAUUGGUAAUGAUGAAGUUGUCCACAUCACACUUCCAGAACACAACAGCAGUGCUACCCUGUUUAACACUCAUAGAGAGCACCAGAGCAACGGUGACGCGUGAGAGCAUCUGGGAAGCAGCUGGCACUGAUGAUUUUAGAGUCAACAACUUCCUGGAUAAAAAACACGACCCUCUCAACCCUGAUGACAUUGUGACAAAGGCGUGUAAAAUGGUGGGUCAAGACUGGGACUACAGUUUGGCUACUCACAACUGCGAGCACUUUGCCACAGGGCUACAAUACGGCAUAGAACAGUCCAGACAGGUUAAGCAGGUCGUCGUGGUAACAGUGGCUACAACUGCUGUGAUUGUAUUCAUACUUUGGCAUGCUAGCUCAAGAUCGUGUGAGUUGUUGUAGCUGUGCUUUGGUAUUUUGGACCCUUGGCCUUUACUCACCCAGAAAUUGUUGCAAGUUUUAUUUGAAGUUAUCAAACAUCUUCUAUCAUAUUAAAAUUAUACACUGGCUCAAUGUAUUUAAAAAGAGCCUUUGUCAUGAAUGUUUCAUUCCUUUAGUAUAUGUUUUUAUCUUUCAUAUCAGUUUACUUUAUACAUUUGUUCACCAUAUAAAUCCCACCUAUUCACCCAAGUCCACUUUUUCAGUGUUAUCUGUUCAACAUAUUUUAAACUUCCUCUUCUUUAGAAAAAAAAAAAAACACUUUUCCUUCUUUUUGGUAUUGUUUGGCAGCUGGGAGUGUUGGGAUAUUCAUUAAAAAAAGUUCAUGCAGUCAAAGGCGUAAGGAUACAUGAGUGAUGUCAACACAAGCAGAGAUGUUACAUGCAGGUCUGACUGUACAGGGUCCUUAGAAAGUAUUAUAUUUAUGUAACUGCUCUUUUUACUUUACACAUUUUAAUUAAUUGACAUUUCUUUGUGGAAAUCUGUUUUCACUUUGACA